GAAUACAACUGAGUUUUUGUGGGUUCCUGCAGGAUUUUGUGGGUUUCCUUACUACAGAAAAAAAUAAUUUUUUUGGAACCCUUGGAGUAAAGUCAACAGUCUCAUGAAUUCAGCAGGGGAGUAGAAGUACCAAAUAUAAUUCUACCUGUUUUGUGAAAUGGAUGACCAGCUACAGCAAGAAAAACUAUCUGUGCCUGCUUUUUCCCCAUGUUGUCUCCAGUAAUUCCUGAUAGCACUGCCA